GUGAUUAUACCAACACUAAUACACCAUAUCCCAUCAGAACUCUGCGGUUAAUGCUUAGGCGAGAGUAGUACUAGGAUGGGUGACCAUUUGGGAAGCCCACGUGUUGAACCU